rnacentral:rRNA from 1 species
GUCCACGCCCUAAACGAUGUCAACUGGUUGUUGGGUCUUCACUGACUCAGUAACGAAGCUAACGCGUGAAGUUGACCGCCUGGGGAGUACGGCCGCAAGGUUGAAACUCAAAGGAAAUUGACGGGGACCCGCACAAGCGGUGGAUGAUGUGGUUUAAUUCGAUGCAAACGCGAAAAACCUUUAACCCACCUUUGACAUGUACGGAAGUCGCUAGAGAUAGCUUCGUGCUCGAAAGAGAGCCGUAACACAGGUGCUGCAUGGCUGUCGU